GCAGCAAAAGCUUUAGGAACAACCAACUUUGACCUGCCAGCUAGUCUGAGAACUGUUCUCUCAGCUAAAGAAAGAAGCCAUGGAGCAGAUGUACCACCUAAUGGUGUAAAGUCUGAGAAAUCAUGAAUGUGGUCUCCAGACAAUGAUGAAGAAAAUCUGUUGAUGUUUUGAGAGAUUGCAGAAGAGGAGUCCUGCUUCACUUGCAGAUAAGUUUAUUAUAAUUCUCCAGAAAUAUGCAGGAAGUGUGUUGACAAAUUAACACUGUACUUCUAAGUUAAAUGUGAAAAUCUAAAGUUUAAAAUUGAUAAAUGAUAU
rnacentral:lncRNA from 1 species